GAUGAACGCUAGCUACAGGCUUAACACAUGCAAGUCGAGGGACCGGCGCAAGGGUGAGUAACACGUACCCAACCUGCCCUUUACUCGGGGAUAGCAUUUCGAAAGAAAGAUUAAUACCCGAUAUAAAGGCUGGGGAUGCGUUGCAUUAGGUUGUUGGUGAGGUAACGGCUCACGAAGCCUUCGAUGGAUAGGGGGUCGGAGAGGAAGGUCCCCCACAUUGGAACUGAGACACUGUCCAAACGCCUACGGGAGACAGCAGUGAGGGAUAUUGGUGAAUGGGCGCUAGCCUGAACCGGCCAAGUAGCGUGAAGGAUGAAGGCUUAUGGGUCAUAAACUUCUUUUAGAUAAGAAUAUGUAUUAUAUGAAGAAGGAUCGGCUAACUCCGUGCCAGCAGCCGCGGUAAUUC
rnacentral:rRNA from 1 species